UGUGGGUGUAAUGUUUUAUAGUAAUAGAAGACAAAAGUAGUAAGUUAUAGAUAAAGUGAAACUAUAAUUGAAAGUAUUAGGCACCUUGAAAAGUAGUAAAUAGAAAAGAAAAGGAAGGCAUGAGCAUGACUUGUUCAAAGCAAGUACUAUCUAGAUUCCUUUUGGGUACCCCAAUUAAUGCUUGAAUUUCAAGAUCAUAAAAGCAACCGUGUUCGGUGUUGUUGAUUGUACCCUGAGGCCUCGAACACGAAGCACAGACCCAUUCAAAUCCAAAAAGAACACAGCGUUGAGCUUGUGCCUUAAAUUUUUAGCUCAAUGCCUUAAGCUAACCACUUACUUCUACCUUUGGAAUGAGUCUUCUCUUCUCAAUAAGUUGUAAAUAAUUUCAGUAAGAUAAAAAAUCUGGAUACGCGCACCAUCCCACUCGGUUCACGCGGUCCAAACACAUCUUAUUUAUACCAACGUCGGCACUGCUCACCCUUCACUUACUUUCCAUUUCAAUCUUCAUUUUCCGAUCACCGUUUUUUGGAACAUAUGGCUGCAUCACCACCCAGAUUGAUCCCUGAAAGGGGUCAAGUUCUGAAGAGGAUCCUAAAAAUGGUGGUUGCUUGUUUCAUGUGUGCUCCUGAGUCUUCUUCCGAUUCUCAUAAUCACAAAACCUCUUCUUCUUCAGUCUUUCCGGCGUCACCUCCUUCCCGUCUCUGAACUCAUUCCUCGCUUUUCGUGUUAACCUUUGACAACUUGUCAAAAAUGGAUUCUGGGUCUGUUGGGUUCUGUUGGUUUAUUCAAGAACAUUGCUCUUCACCUCCUUAACGUUAAUUUUGUGUGCGUCUUAUGUUGUAACGUUGUAGCGACAACUCAAUUUUGUUUAGUUUCAUGUAGAUUCAGCCCCUCCCCGCUUUGAUCCCGGGCCUGCAAAAUUUGAAGAAAAAAAUUUACUUUUGAAUGUGAAAGUCUUUCUUAUCGGUCGGAAAUGCUGAUUUGAUCCGAAGAUUUUAAAUGUACUUUAUAUUUGUGUUAUGGGAGUAUUCGAGAUCGCGUCUCGACAUCUCCACAACAGCUCCCAACACAGCAUAAUUAUAAAUAUAACUUAAUUACGUAAUUAAUAAACACAACAUGAUAAUUAUUCAUAAAUCAUGAUUAAGACAAC
rnacentral:lncRNA from 1 species